GCCGAGCGGGGUGCGGAGCCUUCCGCCGCCGCACGUCCGUCUCUGCCUCAGUGUCUCCCCUAAAGCUAUUUCCCCUUUAAUUUUUCUUCUUUUCUCGCACCUUUCUUUUAACCCGAGCCACCACGGUCUCUGUUAAGCGCAGGAGUCUUUGGUGAACUUCUCCGUGUUUAUACUCCCGGGGAAGUUAGUGUGCGCGUUGUAGGCCUGUGUUUGCACGGUGCUUUGUCACAGGACGUUUGUUAGGUAAAUCCUUAGUCCUGGAGCUGGUAAAUGCACUUGUGGAGCAAAAGAACUGGAUAGUUGCUGAUGUGGAGGCUCUGCGUAAAGGCUUAUGCAUCGGCUGGUUUCGUUAAGCAGGUCCCACAUGCAGGCACGGUCUUCUCUCAGGGUUUGGAGUGGCAUCACAAGUAUUUCUCUCUCCAGUGUGGCUCUUCUGAUCUUGAGUUAAAGCGAUGCCUCGUAAGAAUGACGCUAAGCCAUCUCUGAUUCAUUUUGAGAGGCAAAGAGAAGUUAACCGGGAGAAGAGUGUAAGGAAUGGAGAAAAGCUGCUUUUCCUGAGAUACUGCUCAGUUGUGAAGGACCUCACUUGGAUUGCAUAAAGGUGUCUUCCCAAGUUGUAACUGUAUGAUCAAAUCUUUCUUUUUCUGUGUAAAGUCAGCAAAGAUGGAAAUUACUGUUUAUUUUUCUAGUAUUUAAGCAACUGGAGACAGUGGAGACAGUAGGUUAAUAGGUAAUAAUUCUUUCAAAGUAUCUUGUUCAUGAUUAAAGUACCCUCUUUGGCUUAUGACGUGCCUCUGUCACUGAAGAAACUUAAUCUUCAUCCUUUCCUUCCUUUGCUGUCCUGUAUUAGUCAUGAUUCUUUUUUCCAUAUGCUUUAACCAUGCAACUUUUUCAUUUGGGCCAAAUAUUUAAGUAAAGGAAAGGUGUUUAUUACUUACUGUUAUAAAAUAUUCUUACUGCAGUGAAGUAAUUGCUGUUUGUUGUGCAAAUAUUGCAAGUGUCACAGGUAUCUCUUGUCAUCGCAGGCUGGUGAAAGAUUUUUUGUUUAUUUUCUUAAUUCCCCUCAAAUCUUUUGGACAUUUUCACUUCAGGUGGGCUAGGUCUGGUAGGUGCCGUACAGUGCAGCACUGAACAUGGGCCCUGGGAACUAAAGAUGAAGCAGAGCUGCUGUCAGUGGUGUGUGUCCUCUGAUACCUGCACUCCCAGAAUCUCAACAGGAAAAUCAGUCAUAUAGCCUCUGUUCUACACAUGCUGUGGGAACUUGAUUUCUCCAAGAUGUAGAGCAUGUGCAGCUUCUCUGAUUUCACCUGUGGAAAGUGUGAUCAUGGUAUGGAGGUGGAGAAAUGAACAAACAAUUCAGUGAUUUAAAGUCUACAGGACACUGGCAGCUAGAAGUGGAUUCCAGGUCUGCUGUCUUUAUUGUGCUGACAGUACCCGUUCCUCCCAGAUGUGUAUCUGUGCUUCAUAAAUUUCCUAGAUGAUUCUUUUCCAAGAAGUUGAGGUCAGCAUUUAAUGGCUGUUUACUUAAAAAUGAGUAGGUUGUCCACAGUGUCCACUGUCUCUCUCUGUAUAUAUGUGUGUGUGUGUGUGUGUCUGUGUGUGUAUAUAUACAUACAUACGUGUGUGUGUAUAUACAUAUAUAUAUAUAUAUGUAUAUGUAUAAAAUCUUUUUUUUUUCCUGGUUGAUGUGACAUUUGAGAGAUCUGUUCAACACCUAAGAAUUGUAUGUAAAAAUUCGUAUCUUCUUAACUGCCAAUUUUCCUCUCCCUCCUACUUUCCCACACUGAUCUGAACUUUCGUGACAAAGCAGUGGAUAACUACAGGACAUUUUUCGGUAAUUCAGCUAAUCGCUGCUACUGGGGCUCUGUUUUUCAUAUUUCUAUAGAUUCUUCCUAGAGCUGUAAUAGUUGAGUGCAGUUGAUCACAUACAAUUUAAAAUGCAAUGUUAUGAAAUAGAUAACAUGAAAGUUUUAGUGCCAUGCUUAAUGUGACUUCUAAUACACUUUCAGAUGUUGUUUUCC